GACGAACGCUGGCGGCGUGCUUAACACAUGCAAGUCGAACGGUGAAGCGCCUUCCUUUUUGGUGGGUGUGGAUGAGUGGCGAACGGGUGAGUAACACGUGAGUAACCUGCCCCCUUCUUCUGGAUAACCGCAUGAAAGUGUGGCUAAUACGGGAUAUUCUGGGUCUGUCGCAUGAUGGGUCUGGGAAAGAUAUUGUUUCGGUGGGGGAUGGGCUCGCGGCCUAUCAGCUUGUUGGUGGGGUGACGGCCUACCAAGGCGGUGACGGGUAGCCGGCCUGAGAGGGUGGACCGCCACAGUGGGGAGGAGGCACGGCGAAGACUCCUACGGGAGGCAGCAGUGGGGAAUAUUGCACAAUGGGCGCAAGGCUGAUGCAGCGACGCCGCGGGAGGGAUGGAGUCCGGCGGGUUGUGAACUUCUUUCGCCAGUGAAGCAGGGCUGCCUCGUCUGUGGGUGUGUUGACGGUAGCUGGAUAAGAAGCGCCGGCUAACUACGUG
rnacentral:rRNA from 1 species